CACGUGGGUAACCUGCCUGUAAGACUGGGAUAACUCCGGGAAACCGGAGCUAAUACCGGAUAGUUCCUUGAACCGCAUGGUUCAAGGAUGAAAGACGGUUUCGGCUGUCACUUACAGAUGGACCCGCGGCGCAUUAGCUAGUUGGUGGGGUAAUGGCUCACCAAGGCGACGAUGCGUAGCCGACCUGAGAGGGUGAUCGGCCACACUGGGACUGAGACACGGCCCAGACUCCUACGGGAGGCAGCAGUAGGGAAUCUUCCGCAAUGGACGAAAGUCUGACGGAGCAACGCCGCGUGAGUGAUGAAGGUUUUCGGAUCGUAAAGCUCUGUUGUUAGGGAAGAACAAGUGCGAGAGUAACUGCUCGCACCUUGACGGUACCUAACCAGAAAGCCACGGCUAACUACGUGCCAGCAGCCGCGGUAAUACGUAGGUGGCAAGCGUUGUCCGGAAUUAUUGGGCGUAAAGGGCUCGCAGGCGGUUUCUUAAGUCUGAUGUGAAAGCCCCCGGCUCAACCGGGGAGGGUCAUUGGAAACUGGGAAACUUGAGUGCA
rnacentral:rRNA from 1 species